AUUGAACGCUGGCGGCAGGCCUAACACAUGCAAGUCGAACGGUAACAGGAAGCAGCUUGCUGCUUCGCUGACGAGUGGCGGACGGGUGAGUAAUGUCUGGGAAGCUGCCUGAUGGAGGGGGAUAACUACUGGAAACGGUAGCUACUACCGCAUAAUGUCGCAAGACCAAAGAGGGGGACCUUCGGGCCUCUUGCAAUCGGAUGUGCCCAGAUGGGAUUAGCUUGUUGGUGGGGUAACGGCUCACCAAGGCGACGAUCCCUAGCUGGUCUGAGAGGAUGACCAGCCACACUGGAACUGAGACACGGUCCAGACUCCUACGGGAGGCAGCAGUGGGGAAUAUUGCACAAUGGGCGCAAGCCUGAUGCAGCCAUGCCGCGUGUAUGAAGAAGGCCUUCGGGUUGCAAAGUACUUUCAGCGGGGAGGAAGGGAGUAAAGUUAAUACCUUGGCUCAUUGACGUUACCCGCAGAAGAAGCACCGGCUAACUCCGUG
rnacentral:rRNA from 1 species